rnacentral:rRNA from 1 species
AUGGGAACGCGAAGAACCUUACCUAGACUUGACAUCUCCUGAAUAGUGUAGAGAUACAUGAAGCCCUUCGGGGCAGGAAGACAGGUGGUGCAUGGUUGUCGUCAGCUCGUGUCGUGAGAUGUUGGGUUAAGUCCCGCAACGAGCGCAACCCCUAUUACUAGUUGCUACCAUUAAGUUGAGCACUCUAGUGAGACUGCCCGGGUUAACCGGGUAGGAAGGCGGGGAGUGACGUCAAAUCAUCAUGCCCCUUAUGUCUAGGGCAACACACGUGCUACAAUGGUGAGUACAGAUAGAUGCGAUACCGCAAGGUGGAGCCAAACUCUAAAACUCAUCCCAGUUCGGAUUGUAGGCUGCAACUCGCCUACAUGAAGUUGGAGUUGCUAGUAAUCGCGAAUCAGAAUGUCGCGGUGAAUACGUUCCCGGGUCUUGUACACACCG